rnacentral:rRNA from 1 species
CCUACGGGUGGCUGCAGUAGGGAAUAUUGGUCAAUGGACGGAAGUCUGAACCAGCCAUUCCGCGUGCAGGAAGAAGGUCCUAUGGACUGUAAACUGCUUUUAGCAGAGAAGAAACGCCUUCAUUUAUGAGGGUCUGACGGUAUCUGCGGAAUAAGCACCGGCUAACUCCGUGCCAGCAGCCGCGGUAAUACGGGGGGUGCAAGCGUUAUCCGGAAUCACUGGGUUUAAAGGGUGCGUAGGCGGGACAUUAAGUCAGUGGUGAAAGUCUGUUGCUU